GUCAAAGGAACAUCCUCUGAGUUUCUUGUGUGUUCAUCAUACUCAAUAGAUGUGAAUUUCUGAUUAGGAUCCACAGGUGUGGAUGCUGGCUUUGCUCCUCCUAGGCCCAAGUCUGAAAUUAUCUACAGAGCAUACUUCCUCUGAUUCAGCAAUAUCCCUUUGCUAGAUCGAAGAAUCUCUAUUCCAAGGAAAUACUUCAACUCUCCCAAGUCUUUCACCUUGAAUUUAUGAUGCAACACCUCUUUGGUUUCAUGAAUUAGAUCAUCAUUGCUCCCAGUAAUCAGUAGGUCAUCUACAUAGACUAAGAUCACC
rnacentral:lncRNA from 1 species